CAUAUUUUAAGCUACUUCUACAAAAUGCCAAGCCCACAGGAUAUACAUAAAUAAAAUAGUCUUCAGUGCAAACAUUUAUUGAUAGGAAAUGAAAAGUCACAUUUCUUAUGCAACAUAUGCAGUUCACUUACUUUCUCUGAGAUUCCUCAAAAACUAAGUUAAAUAAUUCUGUUGUUAGGGACUUCACAGUCCCAAAUAAUAUGACUGGAUACUUGUCAUGUUUCUAAUACAAGCUAACAUUCCUCAGAUGUUUGUGAACCAGAUACUGGUUGUUCUAAGGACUUAGUGAUAGUACAUCACUCUUCAUUUCCUAUGAAGUAGCUAUCUUUCCCGAACUUAGGCUGACUUCACAGUGCAGUUUCACCUCUUUAAAAGGUUACUAAGGAUGCUCAGUGGUGUUGUGGUCUUUCACGUGUGUGAACUGAGCUACAUCAUCCCCAGCCCUUUUUACUUUUUAGUUAUUGCUAUUGCUAAAUUGCUUGUGGUCUAAGUUGCUGAGGCUGCCCUUGAACUUGUGAUCCUCCCAAAUCAUGGGAUUACAGACAUGUGCCACCAUGCGUGGCUGAGGUGUCCUCUAUUCUAUCUUCCUUGAUAUAAUAGCACUGAUUCUUAUCAAAACAUUUUUUAUUAUUAUACUGUGAGCCUUAAAGAACCUAAAACAGGACAGAUUUUUCCCCUAAUAUAUAACAUUUUGUACUACUUUACCAUUUCUCUUAAUUUCCACAGAGAUAUGAAUAAAGAGAAGAUGUACAAUUGACUGACACAAUAGCUUUGGUGUACUCAUCAAGUCUGAUGAAAGAAAAAGUUUCAAUUUGCCAUUUAAAAAACCUUUAUGAAUGAGAUAUUACUUAUCAUUUUAGUACAACAUAAUAUCACAAGUAUAGCUAAUAUCUAUAUGUGUUUAGAAAGUUCUAGGCACUGUGGUAGGCUCUGUACAUUUCCCCUGUCACUCCCCAAAACAAUGUAAAGAAAUGCAAAUAAUUUUUUUAUCGGAAUUUUAUUUGUAAGGAAAUCUAGGGUUGUUUGGAUAGUCACAGUGCUAGUGAGUGAUAGGUAAGGAAACAAACAUCAAGUAGUUUAUCUCCAGAACUUUUAUCCAUUUUUUUAAAUUAAAUGGACAAAUUGCCUUUUGGUUCA
rnacentral:lncRNA from 1 species